AACAGAAGGCAGAAAAGGAAGGAGCACCUCCUGGGAGCAGAGAAUGUAUACAAUUCACCAGUGAGGCCAUCUGGCGUGGAGACCAUAAAGAAGGCUGGGAGCUGAAGAAUAGAUGCUUUCAAACCGUGGUGCUGGAGAAAACUCUUGAGAGUCCUUUGGACAGCAAGGAGAUCAAACCAGUCCAUCCUAAAAGAGAUCAGUUCUGAAUAUUCCUUGGAAGGACUGAUGCUGAAGCUGAAGCUCCAAUACUUUGGCCACCUGAUGCAAAGAGCCGACUCAUUGGAAAAGACCCUGAUGCUGGGAAAGAUUGAGGGCAGAAGGAGAAGGGGGCAGCAGAAGAUGCAAUGGUUGGAUGGCAUCACUGGCUUAAUGGACAUGAAUUGGAACAAACCAAUUUUUUCCCAUAUGUCUUUCCUGGAGGGUAAAUCUGGUCCCGUUAACUCUCCUGUUAACCUCCUGGGGCAGAGGUCCUUGAGAUUGACUUUCUCUUUAGUAAAUGGAAGAAAUACAUGCUCUUGUGGCCUGAA